rnacentral:tRNA from 1 species
UGAAUAUAGUUUAUAAAAAUUCUAGUCUGUGAAUCUAGAGAUGGGGGCUAACUACCCCCUAUUCACC